rnacentral:rRNA from 1 species
CCUACGGGUGGCAGCAGUGAGGAAUAUUGGUCAAUGGACAAGAGUCUGAACCAGCCAAGUAGCGUGAAGGAUGACUGCCCUAUGGGUUGUAAACUUCUUUUAUAUGGGAAUAAAAUGUUCCACGUGUGGGAUUUUGUAUGUACCAUAUGAAUAAGGAUCGGCUAACUCCGUGCCAGCAGCCGCGGUAAUACGGAGGAUCCGAGCGUUAUCCGGAUUUAUUGGGUUUAAAGGGAGCGUAGGCGGAUUGUGAAGUCAGUUGUGAAAGUUUGCGGCUCAACCGUAAAAUUGCAGUUGAAACUGGCAGUCUUGAGUACAGUAGAGGUGGGCGGAAUGCGUGGUGUAGCGGUGAAAUGCUUAGAUAUCACGAAGAACUCCGAUUGCGAAGGCAGUUCACUGGACUGCAACUGACACUGAGGCUCGAAAGUGUGGGUAUCAAACAGGAUUAGAUACCCUAGUAGUC